rnacentral:rRNA from 1 species
AGCGUUGUUCGGAAUUACUGGGCGUAAAGCGCACGUAGGCGGAUCGUUAAGUCGGGGGUGAAAUCCUGGAGCUCAACUCCAGAACUGCCCUCGAUACUGGCGAUCUCGAGUCCGGGAGAGGUGAGUGGAACUCCGAGUGUAG